GAUGAAGAACGUAGCGAAAUGCGAUACGUAGUGUGAAUUGCAGAAUUCAGUGAAUCAUCGAAUCUUUGAACGCACAUUGCACCUCUCGGUAUUCCGGGAGGUAUGCCUGUUCGAGCGUCAUUUGUACCCUCAAGCUCUGCUUGGUGUUGGGUGUUUGUUCCGCCUCUGUGUGUGAACUCGCCUCAAAACAAUUGGCAGCCGGCGUACUUGUUUCGGAGCGCAGCACAUUUUGCGAUCCAGAUCGACGUACAGCGGCAUCCAAGAAGCCUUAUUUAACGCUCUUGACCUCGGAUCAGGUAGGGAUACCCGCUGAACUUAAGCAUAUCAAUAAGCGGAGGA
rnacentral:misc_RNA from 1 species